CGGACGGGUGAGUAACGCGUGGAAAACCUGCCGUAUACUGGGGGAUAACACUUAGAAAUAGGUGCUAAUACCGCAUAAGCGCGCAGCUUCGCAUGAAGCGGUGUGAAAAACUCUGGUGGUAUACGAUGGUUCCGCGUCUGAUUAGCUAGUUGGUGGGGUAAUGGCCUACCAAGGCAACGAUCAGUAGCCGGCCUGAGAGGGUGAACGGCCACAUUGGGACUGAGACACGGCCCAAACUCCUACGGGAGGCAGCAG
rnacentral:rRNA from 1 species